UACGAAGGGGGCUAGCGUUGCUCGGAAUCACUGGGCGUAAAGGGUGCGUAGGCGGGUCUUUAAGUCAGGGGGUGAAAUCCUGGAGCUCAACUCCAGAACUGCCUUUGAUACUGAGGAUCUUGAGUUCGGGAGAGGUGAGUGGAACUGCGAGUGUAGAGGUGAAAAUUCGUAGAUAUUCGCAAGAACACCAGUGGCGAAGGCGGCUCACUGGCCCCGAUACUGACGCUGAGGCACGAAAAGCGUGGGGAGCAAACAGGG
rnacentral:rRNA from 1 species